UACGAAGGGGGCUAGCGUUGUUCGGAAUUACUGGGCGUAAAGCGCGCGCAGGCGGCCUUCCAAGUCAGUGGUGAAAGCCCGGAGCUCAACUCCGGAACUGCCAUUGAAACUGUUAGGCUUGAGGAUGAGAGAGGUGAGUGGAAUUCCCAGUGUAGAGGCGAAAUUCGUAGAUAUUGGGAAGAACACCGGUGGCGAAGGCGGCUCACUGGCUCAUUUCUGACGCUCAGGCGCGACAGCGUGGGGAUCAAACAGG
rnacentral:rRNA from 1 species